GUAAGGAUUUGGGUGAGAGGACUUUUUCCACCUUCACUCCCACAGGUUUAUGAUUCUUUUAUUUUUAAUAAAAUAAAAGAAUUGGUGGUUAACCUGAGAUCAGGAGUUCGAGACUAGUCUGGCCAACAUGGCAAAAUCUCAAAUUAGCCAGUCAUGGUGGUGCAUGCCUGUUAUCCCAGAUACUUGGGAGGCUGAGGCAGGAGAAUCACUUGAACCCGGGAGGCAGAGGUUGCAAUGAGCCAAGAUUGCUCCACUUUACUCCAGCCUGGGUGACAGAGCAAGAAAGGGUCUCUCAUAUGUUGCCCAAGCUGGUCUCAAACUCCUGGUUCAAGUGAAUCCCCCCACUUAACCCUCAAGAGUAGCUGGAACGACAGGCACAUGCCACUGUGCCCAGCUCGGUUAAGGUUCCAUAUACUCUGUCUUUUUCUUUUUUUUUUUUUUUGAGAUGGAGUUUCACUCUUGUUACCCAGGCUGGAGUGCAAUGGCACGAUCUCGGCUCACCGCAACCUCCGCCUGCCAAACUAUCCUCCCACCUCAGCCUCCCGAGUAGCUCAGACUACAGGCACAUGCCACUGGGUUCAGGCAAUUCUCCUGCCUCAGCCUCCCGAGUAGCUGGGAUUACAGGCACGCACCACCGUGCCCAGCUAAUUUUUGUAUUUUUAGUAGAGACGGGGUUUCACCAUGUUGACCAGGAUGGUCUCGAUCUCUUGACCUUGUGCUCCACCCUCCUCGGCCUCCCAAAGUGCUGGGAUUACAGGCUUGAGCCACCGCGCCCAGCCCUUUUUUAAUUGAGUCAGGGUCUCGCUGUGUUGCCCAGACUGGAGUGCAGUAGCUAUUCACAGGCGCGAUCCCACUACUGAUCAGCACAGGAGUUUUGACCUGCUCCAUUUCUGACCUGGGUCGGUUCACCUCUCCUUAGGCAGCCUGGUGGUACCCCGUUCCCUGGAGGUCACCAUACUGAUGCUGAACUUAGUGCGGACACCUGAUCAGCAUAGCGCACUACAGCCCAGAACUCCUGGGCUCAAGCUAUCCUCCCACCUCAGCCUCCCGAGUAGCUCGGACUACAGGCACGCGCCACUGCGCCCGGUACUCUGUCUUUCUAAAGCAAUUUCCUGGAAAUUCUCUCAACAUUGGUUAUAACUGGAUGCUUGGGAAGGGAGGAGCAGCCCUUCAACAGGAAAAGGGGACUGCCCAAAUCUUAGGAAAGAUCCUCUUGGAGCUAGGUAAGGCAGUGGUUCUCAAGUUAGUGAGCAUUUAUCUUGCCUGCUGCAGAAUUUGACCCAGAUGGGACGUUUUUCAGGUCUCUCACAAAUGAGACAAGUCCAACAGUCCUCUCCUUUUAUUCUCUUUGGUGCACAGGUGCUGGGGAAACAGGAACUAGCUGCAGUGUAACUGCAGAACACAGACCCAGUUCUACCAGGCCAGGUCAGCAUUGGGAACCAUCAGACAGGGCUGCUUUGGGCUUUGCUUAUAGUAUUUUUGUUUGUAGUUUGGCGUGUGAGAAAGUAUUAGGUGAAAUGCCAGUCAUGGUUCAGGUGAAAGUCUCAUUAUUCCCCUUGUGGCUCAUCCUUCACGUCAUUUUUUUUUUUUUUUUUUGAGACUGAGUUUCGCUCUUGUUGCCCAGGCUGGAGUGCAAUGGCGCAAUCUCGGCUGACUGCAACCUCUGCCUCCCAGGUUCAAGCAAUUCUGCUGCCUCAGCCUCCUGAGUAGUUGAGACUACAGGCAUGUGCCACCACACGCAGGUAGUUUUUGUAUUUUUGGUAGAGAUGGGAUUUUGCCAUGUUGACCAGGAUGGUCUCGAUCUCUUGACCUCGUGAUCCAUCUGCCUUAGCCUCCCAAAGUGCUGGGAUUACAGGUGUGAGCCACCACGCCUGGCCUCUUUCACAUCCUCUUUGCCCUUAAAGGAGUUGCUGCCUCCCUGCUUAGUGUCGCCUGACCCCUCAGAGCUUCCCUGUGCUUUUUUGGUUGGGGACUGGCAGGGUCUCCUAGCCUUACAAGGGAGCCACCUGCAGUGCCCAUCUGGGAGGCCCAGGCAGUAUUCCUCAUGCUCUGUGCUAGUGUUUUUUACAUAAGGGACAGACAGAGCUGAUUUUUCUUUUUUCCCUCUGUCUGGUUUUAGCAGAGUCAGUGUAACUAACUUAUAUUUUCUCUUUAUGAAACAUAGAAGUUAUUUUUAUGUAGUUUCCAGCCUUUAUACAAAAUUUUUGUAAAAGGUUUUCUAGAAAGUUAACUACAAGAAUACAAGAAUGUAAAUAUGCUUCUAAUAAAAUAACAAGGUUAUCUGCCAUUCGGGUUGUUCUUUUGGAUGGGGUGAAAAGCAGGGCACACUUAUCCAUAAGCCCAGCAAGAAAGGGCUUAUCAACCAAGUACACAGGUGCCUCCCAGGUUAUACAGCAGCUCAGACUUCAGGUUUCUGUUUAGAAAGACAUUAUGCUUGGUUGAGAGAGUGUGUUGAGGGCCAUGUUCUCUACAGGCAUUUAAUAUCAUUCUCAUUUAACAACAAGCAUUCACUGGCCCCCAGAAAUUUUCACCUGUUAAUGUACUGAAUCUUUUGACAAUCGGGAAGACAUCAUCGUUCCUAUUUUAUGUAUUUAUCUAUUGGGUUUUUGUUUAGUUUUGUUUUGUUUUUGUAGAGACAGGGUCUCCCUAUCACCUAGGGUAGAAUACAGUGGUAUGAUCAUGGUUCACUAUAACCUCAAACUCAUGGUCUCAGGCGAUCCUCCUGCCUUAGCUUCCUGAGUAGGUAAGAUUAUAGGCCUGAGCCACGGUGCCUGGCUAACUUGUUUUGUGGAGAUGGAGGUCAGGGCAGGCGGGAACACUAUGUUGCCCAGGCUGGUCUCAAACUCCUGGCCUCAAGCAAUCCUCCUGCCUCAGCCUCCCAAACAGCUGGAAUUACAGGUGUGAGCCACCACACCAGGCUCAUUCUCAUUUUAUAGAUGAGGAAAUGGGCACUAGGCCAGGGGAAGGGUCAAGCCAAAUCUCAAAUCACUGGUAAGUGAUGACUGUGGGAGUCAAACUUAAACCUUCUGCAAGAGGUGUUCCUGGCACACCUCCUGUGUCUCACCCAACUGCCACUUGAACUAAUUAAUCAAGGGUCACACAGACACCUAGACACUAGCCAUCUCUGCCGUAUUAAAAAGAAUCUGUCUGUUAUGCCUCUGAAACACCAUUUAGGCUUCCUUAACUUUGGGUCCAUAGACUGUCCCCACAAAGGAUCUAUAUGUAGAAUUCAGAGUGUCUUGGAACUUGGAUGGCAAAAGAGUUGGUCUUUAGUUUUAUUAUUUUAUUUAUUUAUUUAUUUUUUCUUUAAAGAUGGAGUUUCACCAUGUUGGUCAGGCUGAUCUUGAACUCCUGACCUCAGGUGAUCCACCCCCCUUAGCCUCCAAAGUCCUUGGAUUACAGACAUGAGCCACCACACUCAGCUGGUCUUUAGUUUUACUAUCCUUUAACUGAAAUUAAGCAUUUCCUUUCAUUGUGGAUGUAGCCAACGAACUCUAGCAGUUUAACAGUAGUUGUGACUAUCACCAAUAAAAAUCACAGAUAUUUCAUAUCACAUUGCAGCUGUUGUAAGGAUCUCAAAAUACUUUUUUUUUUGAGGCGGAGUUUCGCUCUUGUUACCCAGGCUGGAGUGCAAUGGCGCGAUCUCGGCUAACCGCAACCUCUGCCUCCUGGGUUCAAGCAAUUCUCCUGCCUCAGCCUCCCGAGUAGCUGGGACUACAGGCGUGCGCCACCAUGCCCAGCUAAGAUCUCAAAAUAUUUUUAUCACUUGGAAAUUACAUUAGCUAUUAAACCUAUUGCUAGAUCUUAUUUAAUGUGCAUAUGUGUGUAUAUACAUCCAUAUAUCACAUUACAUGGGCAUAUAUAUCACAUACAUAAUAUCUACAGGUUUUUCAGUAUUUUGUCACCUGUAUUCCAUAUGAUUGGUUUCAUUUGUAAUCUAUGUGCUUUAUAUUGCACACUUGAAAAUGUUAUUCUGAGAAGCCACCAGGCAGUGGCUCACGCCUGUAAUCCCAGCAUUUUGGGAGACUGAGGCUGGCAGAUUACUUGGGAUCAGGAGUUCGAGACCAGCCUGGCUGACAUGGUGAAACCCUGUCUCUACUAAAAAUACAAAAAUUAGCCAGGCGUGGUGGCACACCUGUAAUCCUAGCUACUCAGGAGGCUGAGACACAAGAAUUGCUUGAACCCAGGAGGUGGAGGUUGCAGUGAGCCAAGAACACACCACUGCACUCCAGCCUGGGCAACAGAGUGAGGCUUUGUCUCAAAAAAUAAUAUAUUAUUCUGAGAAGGGAUUCCUAUUCUUUGUGGAAUGCCAAUGGAGUCUAUGACACAAAAAAUGAUUUAGAACCCCUGUUUCUCCAGCCUUGAAUUGUCUCUGUCCCGGAAAACUUCUGACCAGCAGGGGGCAGGCUGCAGCCACGAGGUCAGUGCAGACUUCACAUUGAUUACUGUCUGGGAGAUGCAAAUAAACAAGCAGCUGGCCUGCCUGCCAUUAAGGGCUAGAAAAAUGACUGGGGUUCUCGUGAAAAAUAAUUCAUGAAACUGACAAACCAACAGUGCACUAGGGGAUUCAUAGGACUUGGGAAAUGAGAUCAUUCCACGUUCAUUGACACCUCUUAAGUACCAUGUGCUAGAGAUGCCAAGAUUGAGUAAGACAUUGACACUGUCUCCUUGUCCGCGUAGGGAAACAGACCUGGAAAAGCAGAGUGUAAGUUCAGACCAACGUUGCCUGGGAGAAUCAGGGAAGACUUCCCAGAGAAGGUGAUGCUGAAUCUCGGAAGACAAACUAGUAUGUACCAGAAGAGGUGCAUUCGGAGAUAGGGAUGUUUAGGAUAAAUGCUUUACAGGUCAUGAGGCUGAAGAGAUGAGCAGGUCCCGACCAACAUGCUAGGCUAAAACACCUUUAUCUAUCCCAAGGGCAGUCAGAAGAAUGGGAGUUCACUCAGGGAAAGGGCAGUUGAAAUCAUGGCCUUGGCAAUUCAAGAGACUGGCUGAAAAGAACUGAGAUUAUGUUGAAAUAUUUGAUUUAUUUAUUUAUGAGGCGGAGUUUUCCUCUUCUUGCCUAGGCUCAAGUGCAAUGGUGUGAUAUUGGCUCACCACAAAAUCGAUUCUCUGCCUUAGUCUCCCGAGUAGCUGGGAUUGCAGGCAUGCUCCAUCACAUCUGGAUAAUUUUGUAUUUUUAGUAGAGACAGGGUUUCUCCAUGUUGGUCAGGUUGGUCUUGAACUCCUGACCUCAGAUGAUCCCCCAGCCUUGGCUUCCCAAAGUGCACCACGCCCAGUGAAAGAGUUUUUUGGCCCAGAGUUUUGAGGAUUUCAGAAUGAAAGGGAAGACUGCAGGUUCCAUGAGGGCAAGAAGUAGGGCUUUUUAGCUGACCCCUUGCUGUGGUGUAAAUGUCCCCUCCAAAACUCACUGAAAUUUAAUUGCCACUGUAAGGAUGUUGAGAGGUGCAACCUUUAAGAGGUGACUAGUACAAGAGCCCUAUGAAUGGACUAAUGCCAUUAUUGCUGAAGUGGGUUAGUUAUCAUGGGAAUGGAUUCCUGAUAAAAAGGUGAGUUGGCUGGGUGUGGUACUUCAAGCCUGUAAUCCCAGCACUUUGGGAGGCCAAGGUGGGAGGAUCACCUGAAGUCAGGAUUUCAAGAUCAGCCUGGCCAACAUGGUGAAACCCUGUCUCUACUAAAAAUACAAAAAUUGAGCUGCUUCAAGAUGAAGCUGAACAUCUCCUUCUCAGCCACUGGCUGCCAGAAACUCAUCGAAGUGGACGAUGAAUGCAAACUUCGUACUUUUUAUGAGAAACGUAUGGAGACAGAAGUUGCUGCUGACCCUCUGGGCGAAGAAUGGAAGGGUUAUGUGGUCCGAAUCAGUGGUGGGAAAAGGAAACAAGGUUUCCCCAUGAAGCAGGGCAUCUUGACUCAUGGCCGUGUCCGCCUCCUACUGAGUAAGGGGCAUUCCUGUUACAGACGAAGGAAAACUGGAGAAAGAAAGAGAAAAUCAGUUUGUGGUUGCAUUGUGGAUGCUAAUCUGAGUGUUCUCAACUUGGUUAUUGUAACAAAAGGAGAGAAGGAUAUUCCUGGACUGAUACCACGGUGCCUCGUCGCCUCGGGCCCAAAAGAGCUAGCAGAAUCUGUAAACUUUUCAAUGUCUCUGGAGAAGAUGAUGUCCGCCAGUAUGUUGUAAGAAAGCCCUUAAACAAAGAAGGUAAGAAACCUAGGACCAAAGCACCCCAAGAUUCAAUUCAGCAUCUUGUUACUCCACGUGUCCUGCAGAACAAACGGCGGCAUAUUGCUCUGAAGAAGCAGUGCACUAAGAACAAUAAGGAAGAGGCUGCAGAAUAUGCUAAACUUUUGGCCAAGAGAAUGAAGGAGGCUAAAGAGAAGCGCCAGGAACACAUUGCAAAGAGACGCAGACUUUCCAUCUCUGUGAGCUUCUACUUCUAAGUCUGAAUUCAGUCAGAAAUAAGAUUUUUGAGUAACAAAUAAGAUCAAACUUAAAAAAAUAAUAAAAGAAUUAGCCAGGUGUGGUGGUGGGCGCCUGUAAUCCCAGCUACUCUGGAGGCUAAGGCAGGAGAAUCGCUUGAACUUGGGAGGCAGAAGUUACAGUGAGCCGAGAUUGCACCACUGCACUCCAGCCUGGGUGACAGAGUGAGACUCCGUCUCAAAAAAAGGAUGAGUUUACCCAAUUUCCUCCCUUUGUGUCUAUGCUCACUUCUGUCUUCCAUUUUCUGCCAUUGGAUGACCCUUACCAGAUACUGCUUUUGGACUUCCCAGCCUCCAGAACUGUGAGCCAAAUAAACUUCUGUGACAUGGUAAAAAGCCCCAUAAAACUGCAUAUCUCAACCACCCCUCAGCUUUCUGUUGAAACUGCUCUCUAUAACCCAAAUGUGAAUAAGUAAUUAAGGACUGUGAUUGCCACCCUACCCAGAUAAUGUGUAAACGAAUGCUAAUCUUGACUUUUGUGAAUCACUUGAGUAACAACCAGAAUGUCAAAAAGUCCACUGGCCCUUGGAAUGUCUGGAGCCCCUCACCCCCACCCUCACUCCCAAGGUGAUUUUUAUGGGUAUAAAAGGUCUUGACACCCUCCUUUCGGGGCCACAGGUUGGAGAGAUGCGAGAACUCCAUGGCCGCCAGCAAUAAAGACCCUGCAAUUUGGCAUACUUUUGUCUUGAUGUUGAUUUUCUAUGCUCGGGCCAGUACAACACUUCUGUUUUUUAUAAAUUUAACUAGUCUAUGAUAUUCUGUUAUGGCAGCAGAAACCAAAGCAGAAAAUUGGUACUGAGCAGUGGCCUGUUACAAUAACAAACACUUGUAGAAAAUGUGGAAACCACUCUGGAACUAGGUAAUGCAUAGAGACUGGAAAAAUUGGAAGGAGCAGGCCAGAAAAAGCCUAUACUGCCAUCAAUGGAGCAUUAGGGUGAUUCUGGUGAGGGCUCAGGAGGGAAGAGCUGUAAGGAAAGUCUGAACCAUCUAAGAGAUUACUUAAAGGCUCAUGACCAGAAUGUUGGUAGAAAUAUGGGCGGUAAAGGCCAUUCUGUUGAGGUCUCAAAUAGAAAUGAGGAACAAGGUAUUCGAAACUGGAGUAGUGUUUGCUUCAGCAGCACAUAUAGUAAUAUUGGAAGGAUACAGAGAAGAUUAGCAUGGCCCCUGUGCAAGGAUAGCAUGCACAUUUGUGAAGCGUUCCAUAUUUUUACUUGAAGAAAACUACCUUAAACUUCAUAGGGAACCAAAAAAGAGCCUACAUAGCCAAGACAAUCCUAAGCAAAAAGAACAAAGCUGGAGGCAUCACGCUAUCUGAUUUCAAACUGUACUACAAGGCUGCAGUAAUUAAAACAGCAUGGUACUAGUACCAAAACAGAGAUAUAGACCAAUGGAACAGAUCAGAGGCCCUGGAGGCAACGCCACACAUCUACAAUCAUCUGAUCUUUGACAAACCUGACAAAAACAAGCAAUGGGGAAAGGAUUCCCUGUUUAAUAAAUGGUGUUGGAAAAACUGGCUAGAAAGCAGAAACUGGACCCCUUCCUGACAACUUACACUAAAAUUAGCUCCAGUUGGAUUAAAGACUUAAACAUAAGACCUAACACCAUCAAAACCCUGGAAGAAAACCAAGACAAAACAAUUCAGGCCAUAGGCAUAGGCAAGGACUUCAUGACUAAAACAUCAAAAGCAUUGACAACAAAAGCCAAAAUAGACAAAUGGGACCUAACUAAACUCCACAGCUUCUGUACAGAAAAAGAAACAAUCAUUAGAGUGAACUGGCAACCAACAGAAUGGGAAAAAGUUUUUGCAAUCUACCCAUCUGACAAAAGGCUAAUAUCCAGAAUUAUAUCCAGAAUCUACAAAGAACUAAAACAGAUUUACAAGAAAAAACAAACCCAGCCAAAAGUGGGCAAAGAAUAUGAACACACUUUUCAAAAGAAGACAUAUAUGAGGCCAACAAACAUAUAAAAAAAAUGCUCAUCAUCACUGAUUAUUAGAGAAAUGCACAUCAAAAUCACAUUGAGAUACCAUGUCACACCAGUUAGAAUGGCGGUCAUUAA